rnacentral:rRNA from 1 species
AAUUAUACCGCGAAACUGCGAAUGGCUCAUUAUAUAAGUUAUCGUUUAUUUGAUAAUACUUUACUACUUGGAUAACCGUGGUAAUUCUAGAGCUAAUACAUGCUAAAAAUCCCGACUUCGGAAGGGUUGUAUUUAUUAGAUUAAAAACCAAUGCCCCUCGGGGCUCUCUGGUGAAUCAUGAUAACUAGUCGAAUCGACAGGCCUUGUGCCGGCGAUGGCUCAUUCAAAUUUCUUCCCUAUCAACUUUCGAUGUUUGGGUAUUGGCCAAACAUGGUGGCAACGGGUAACGGAGGGUUAGGGCUCGACCCCGGAGAAGGAGCCUGAGAAACGGCUACUACAUCCAAGGAAGGCAGCAGGCGCGCAAAUUACCCAAUCCCGACACGGGGAGGUAGUGACAAUAAAUACUGAUACAGGGCUCUUUCGGGUCUUGUAAUCGGAAUGAGUACAAUUUAAAUCCCUUAACGAGGAACAAUUGGAGGGCAAGUCUGGUGCCAGCAGCCGCGGUAAUUCCAGCUCCAAUAGCGUAUAUUAAAGUUGUUGUGGUUAAAAAGCUCGUAGUUGAACCUUGGGCCUGGCUGGCCGGUCCGCCUCACCGCGUGCACUGGUCCGGCCGGGCCUUUCCCUCUGCGGAACCCCAUGCCCUUCACUGGGUGUGGCGGGGAAACAGGACUUUUACUUUGAAAAAAUUAGAGUGCUCAAGGCAGGCCUAUGCUCGAAUACAUUAGCAUGGAAUAAUAGAAUAGGACGUGUGGUC